rnacentral:rRNA from 1 species
GACGAACGCUGGCGGCAUGCCUAAUACAUGCAAGUUGAACGAUGAUAUUCUCUGCUUGCAGAGAAUUGAGGAGUAGCGAACGGGUGAGUAACACGUGGGGAACCUGCCCAUGAGAGGGGGAUAACAUUCGGAAACGGAUGCUAAUACCGCAUAAUGCUUUGGACCGCCUGGUCCAGAGACGAAAGACGGCUUUUGCUGUCACUCAUGGAUGGCCCCGCGCCGUAUUAGCUAGUUGGUGAGGUAAUGGCUCACCAAAGCUGUGAUACGUAGCCGACCUGAGAGGGUGAUCGGCCACACUGGGACUGAGACACGGCCCAGACUCCUACGGGAGGCAGCAGUAGGGAAUCUUCCACAAUGGGCGAAAGCCUGAUGGAGCAAUGCCGCGUGAAUGAAGAAGGUCUUCGGAUCGUAAAGUUCUGUUAUUAGAGAAGAACAAGUCAAGGAGUAACUGUCUUGACUUUGACGGUACCUAACCAGAAAGUCACGGCUAACUACGUG